rnacentral:lncRNA from 1 species
UCCACUCAUCCUUCUUCCGACCCCGAGCCCACUCCCCGGCCCCCGCCCCCCGCCCCCGCCCCCGCCUUGAUUCAGAGAAGAAAUAGAGACUGCAGCCCGGCCGCCCCACAACUCACUCCAAGUGAGGGGUUGAAGCGCCCCAGGCCGCGGACUCCGCGAACCCACCCUCCCUCUCCUCGAGGGACACCUCACAGGUGCGCCUCCAAGCCGCGCGCGCGCGCUCCGCACACCCAGACGCCUCCGGGGGACAGCGCGCGUGCGCACGCACGAGGCCAGCGAGCCCCAGGGGAGCGGGGGCCGCACGCAUGCGCGCCGCCCGGCCCGCUCCCCUUCCCCCCUCCCCUGCCCCCGCCCCCGUCGGCCGCCCGCGCGUGCCCUCCCCCCAAUCCCAGGCUGGUCCCGGGUACCCCCCAACCCCCACCGCCCAGCGCGCGCGCGCUCCCGCUCGCCCGCCUCGCUCCUCCUCCCCCGCGCCCCACCCGGGCCCGCGUUACCCCGGGCAACCGCAGUGCGGCCGCACCUGAGCUUUGCGCCUGCGUCCCACUGGCCAGACCCUCCCUUCCCCUCGGUCCGUUCCCCAACCCCGCACAGCUGCGGGAGGGGGGCGUCGCCCCCUCCCCGGGAAGUGAGUAUCGAUCGGCCUCCCCCGCCCCUCCCCGCAGACACAAACCCGCCGCCGCGCCGGCGCCUCGGCCGCCCUCCCGGUCAGCGCGGACAGGCCUCGCCGCCCCGGCCCCCGCUCCCAGCGUGCACCGCGGCGAGCGCUCGGGUGGGAGCCGGCGAGAUGCGCUCGGCGGGCGGUGCCCACUGACCUCCCUCGGCGGCCGGGCCGGGGCAGGGCCGGAGCCGGGAGCCAGCCCCGCCCGCCGCCCCGCCCAUGGACCGCCGGCCCCCGCUGCCGCCCGCCCGGAGGACCGCGCCGAGUGGGGGAGCCGCCUGAAGGACCGCGACGGCCGCGCCCGCAGGUGCACCAGGAGCGCCCGAGGGCCUGGCCCUGCUUUGUCUGGGAUGCUGUGGGGAGGAGGCCGUCUGAAUCCACAUCGCCUAUUUAAAUGCGUUUUACCACCCCGUGGACGUUAGAGACCCUCCCAGAUAAGUUGCAUUGUCUUCUGUCCUGAUAACCCUUUACGAAAAGCAUCAUCAGAGCUCAGCAUGCGCGUUUCCUGAAUUUCUGAGUUUCUGCCACCACUGAAAAUUGAGAAAGCGCAAAGCCAGCCCAGUUCACGCUGGGAGAGCCACCUCUUGGGUUUGGUGCCCAUGUCAGCACCAGGAACCCACACAGUCGGCCCCUAACAGGAAUAACUGUCCAGGUGUAAAUAAGCUGCACCCAGUGAGAUCCCAUGUGUCACAGGCUCUGCAGAAUGUCCUGAACAAGUGCACACUUUCC